AAUCUUCAAUAUUUACCCUGCAGUCUCCAAAAACAAAAGUUGACUGUGUUCCUUGAAGUCAAUCUCACCAGCAUUUCAGGAUGACAGAUGGGAGAGGCUGAAAAAGAGUUAUUGGAUGACCUGGAACUUCUUGAAUACUUUGUACUAUUGGAAAUGUCCCAUGCACUUCAAGGGGUUGGCAGAUCCACCAGGACAGUGAGACAGAUCGAUCUUCCACCAUCCACAGGCCACAUAUCCAGUGGACACACAAUCCAGAAUGGAGACCUGGCUUGGAUGACCUCAGAUGCUGGGGGCUUAUUACAAAGAUACGUGGCAUAAGAUCAGAAACUUCACAGCUGCAUGACUGGCCCCAUAUAUCUGGAAAAUCAAUC
rnacentral:lncRNA from 1 species